rnacentral:rRNA from 1 species
UUUGCUAAUGAUUCGAAAUAAAUUUACACCCGUCCCAUUCCGAACACGGAAGUUAAGUUUUUACGCGACCAAUGGUAGUUCGAAAGAGCGAGAAUUGGUUUUGACAAAC